rnacentral:rRNA from 1 species
GUCUUUUAGAUGACGAAGUGGUUGAUGCCAUGCUUCCAAGAAAAGCUUCUAAGCUUCAGGUAACCAGGAACCGUACCCCAAACCGACACAGGUGGUCGGGUAGAGAAUACCAAGGCGCUUGAGAGAACUCGGGUGAAGGAACUAGGCAAAAUGGCACCGUAACUUCGGGAGAAGGUGCGCCGGCUAGGGUGAAGGAUUUACUCCGUAAGCUCUGGCUGGUCGAAGAUACCAGGCCGCUGCGACUGUUUAUUAAAAACACAGCACUCUGCAAACACGAAAGUGGACGUAUAGGGUGUGACGCCUGCCCGGUGCCGGAAGGUUAAUUGAUGGGGUUAGCGCAAGCGAAGCUCUUGAUCGAAGCCCCGGUAAACGGCGGCCGUAACUAUAACGGUCCUAAGGUAGCGAAAUUCCUUGUCGGGUAAGUUCCGACCUGCACGAAUGGCGUAACGAUGGCGGCGCUGUCUCCACCCGAGACUCAGUGAAAUUGAAAUCGCUGUGAAGAUGCAGUGUAUCCGCGGCUAGACGGAAAGACCCCGUGAACCUUUACUGUAGCUUUGCACUGGACUUUGAGCCUGCUUGUGUAGGAUAGGUGGGAGGCUUUGAAGCGUGGACGCCAGUUCGCGUGGAGCCAUCCUUGAAAUACCACCCUGGCAUGCUUGAGGUUCUAACUCUGGUCCGUGAUCCGGAUCGAGGACAGUGUAUGGUGGGCAGUUUGACUGGGGCGGUCUCCUCCUAAAGAGUAACGGAGGAGUACGAAGGUGCGCUCAGACCGGUCGGAAAUCGGUCGCAGAGUAUAAAGGCAAAAGCGCGCUUGACUGCGAGACAGACACGUCGAGCAGGUACGAAAGUAGGUCUUAGUGAUCCGGUGGUUCUGUAUGGAAGGGCCAUCGCUCAACGGAUAAAAGGUACUCCGGGGAUAACAGGCUGAUACCGCCCAAGAGUUCAUAUCGACGGCGGUGUUUGGCACCUCGAUGUCGGCUCAUCACAUCCUGGGGCUGAAGCCGGUCCCAAGGGUAUGGCUGUUCGCCAUUUAAAGUGGUACGCGAGCUGGGUUUAGAACGUCGUGAGACAGUUCGGUCCCUAUCUGCCGUGGACGUUUGAGAUUUGAGAGGGGCUGCUCCUAGUACGAGAGGACCGGAGUGGACGAACCUCUGGUGUUCCGGUUGUCACGCCAGUGGCAUUGCCGGGUAGCUAUGUUCGGAAAAGAUAACCGCUGAAAGCAUCUAAGCGGGAAACUUGCCUCAAGAUGAGAUCUCACUGGGAACUUGAUUCCCCUGAAGGGCCGUCGAAGACUACGACGUUGAUAGGCUGGGUGUGUAAGCGUUGUGAGGCGUUGAGCUAACCAGUACUAAUUGCCCGUGAGGCUUGACCAU